CUGACGCCGCGUUUUUCAGGUGCCCACAGAAUGUUAUCCACAUUUGAGGGUGAAACGGGAAUCUGGUGAGAAUCCAGAGCUGCCCCCGCAACGGUAAAACAACAGAGAGCUUUGCUCUGGCUUUGAUCAAACCACUGUCUUUGGAUGGGAAGGGAUUAAAGCUGUUAUUGAAAAUAGCUUGUUGUCAGCCCGGAGACCGGCCUGAAAAGUUCAUUCACU
rnacentral:ncRNA from 2 species